AGCAUAUCAAUAAGCGGAGGAAAAGAAACCAACAGGGAUUGCCCUAGUAACGGCGAGUGAAGCGGCAACAGCUCAAAUUUGAAAUCUGGCCUCACGGUCCGAAUUGUAAUUUGUAGAGGAUGUUUCUGGCGACGUGUCUUCCGAGUUCCCUGGAACGGGACGCCAUAGAGGGUGAGAGCCCCGUCCGGUCGUACACCUAGCCUCUGUGAAACUCCUUCGACGAGUCGAGUAGUUUGGGAAUGCUGCUCUAAAUGGGAGGUAUACGUCUUCUAAAGCUAAAUACCGGCCAGAGACCGAUAGCGCACAAGUAGAGUGAUCGAAAGAUGAAAAGCACUUUGAAAAGAGGGUUAAAUAGUACGUGAAAUUGCUGAAAGGGAAGCGCUUAUGACCAGACUUGGGCUCGGUGAAUCAUCCGGCGUUCUCGCCGGUGCACUUUGCCGUCCCAGGCCAGCAUCAGUUCGCGCCGGGGGAUAAAGGUUUCGGGAAUGUAGCUCCCUCGGGAGUGUUAUAGCCCGUUGCGUAAUACCCUGGCGUGGACUGAGGUCCGCGCUCUGCAAGGAUGCUGGCGUAAUGGUCAUCAGUGACCCGUCUUGAAACACGGACCAAGGAGUCGUCUUCGUAUGCGAGUGUUCGGGUGUCAAACCCCUACGCGUAAUGAAAGUGAACGUAGGAGAGAGCUUCGGCGCAUCUCCGACCGAUCCUGAUGUUCUCGGAUGGAUUUGAGUAAGAGCAUACGGGGCCGGACCCGAAAGAAGGUGAACUAUGCCUGUAUAGGGUGAAGCCAGAGGAAACUCUGGUGGAGGCUCGCAGCGGUUCUGACGUGCAAAUCGAUCGUCAAAUAUGGGCAUGGGGGGCGAAAGACUAAUCGAACCUUCUAGUAGCUGGUUUCCGCGA
rnacentral:rRNA from 1 species